rnacentral:rRNA from 1 species
CCUACGGGCGGCAGCAGUGAGGAAUAUUGGUCAAUGGACGAGAGUCUGAACCAGCCAAGUAGCGUGAAGGAUGACUGCCCUAUGGGUUGUAAACUUCUUUUAUAUGGGAAUAAAAUGUUCCACGUGUGGGAUUUUGUAUGUACCAUAUGAAUAAGGAUCGGCUAACUCCGUGCCAGCAGCCACGGUAAUACGGAGGAUCCGAGCGUUAUCCGGAUUUAUUGGGUUUAAAGGGAGCGUAGGUGGAUUGUUAAGUCAGUUGUGAAAGUUUGCGGCUCAACCGUAAAAUUGCAGUUGAAACUGGCAGUCUUGAGUACAGUAGAGGUGGGCGGAAUUCGUGGUGUAGCGGUGAAAUGCUUAGAUAUCACGAAGAACUCCGAUUGCGAAGGCAGUUCACUGGACUGCAACUGACACUGAGGCUCGAAAGUGUGGGUAUCAAACAGGAUUAGAUACCCGGGUAGUC